UACGUAGGGUGCAAGCGUUAAUCGGAAUUACGGGGCGUAAAGCGUGCGCAGGCGGUUUUGUAAGUCUGUCGUGAAAGCCCCGGGCUCAACCUGGGAAUUGCGAUGGAGACUGCAAGGCUUGAAUCUGGCAGAGGGGGGUAGAAUUCCACGUGUAGCAGUGAAAUGCGUAGAGAUGUGGAGGAACACCGAUGGCGAAGGCAGCCCCCUUGGUCAAGAUUGACGCUCAUGCACGAAAGCGUGGGGAGCAAACAGG
rnacentral:rRNA from 1 species